UUUGCCAGGUAAAUUUUUCAAUGGUUGUGGCAUUAAGUUUAUGUUGUGAUCAAACUUAAUUUACCCUAUUAUGCUUCUCGUCCUUAUUCUGCUUCAAUUCCGCUUUUUAUCCUCAUUUACGGAAUCCGCUUCCAGAAUCCGCGUUUUAUCCUCAUUUGCGGAAUCCGCUUCCGCAAUCCGCAAUCCGGUUCCGCGUUUUAUCCCAACCCAAUAAAACUUCCGGCGUUUACUGUAUGCCCACAAGUAAAGUUAUAUUUUAUAGUAUGCUACAUAUUUCUUCUGUCGGCCGCCAUGGCCAGUUUAAAACGUUCAAAAUAAAAUAUUUGGGGGCUUUUAGGCUCAAAAUACUAUCAAAAUGAAGAGAGAAGUGAGACGAAUCCACUGGUAUACGGCCGAAAAAGAGAAAACCAAUGAUGCCAAAGUUAUCAAGGAUCAAACGUAUUGCAUUUUUUAUAAUUUGAGCGAUUUGUCAACAAAUAAUACAAUUUCGCUUGGCUUUCAAAUACAAAGGCCAUAAAUCGCUAGAAUACUGUUGUCAGUUGUUUAGUAAUACAGUUGACAUCCGUAGGUUCUCAUUCCCAAGUACAAUUUCUUACGCUUAAUCGAACGGUGGUAUUUUUAUCCUUAUUGCGCCAUUAGGCAAUACAAAUACAAGGUCGGACCAUGGAUUGUAAAAUAACAAUUAUUUUACAAUCCAUGGUCGGACAAACGGCGAGUGAUUUGUCAAUAAUAGUGGAUUGCUAAUAAUAUUUGUCAAUAAUAGUGGAUUGUCAAUAAUAACUGGAUUGUCAUGGUUCAGUAGCUACCUGUCAAAUCGAUAUCAAGUGGUAUGCAUAAAUUCAACCUUAUCAGAUCCUUUGCUAGUUACAAGCGGAGUCCCACAGGGCAGUAUCCUUGGCCCAAUCUUGUUCAAUAUUUAUGUCAAUGAUCUACCACUUGUUCCGAGGUCCUGCACACCC